AACACUACCCCAGGAAAGACAGAAUCACAAGACUUUACAGGAUUCAAAACUAACAAGAUUGACGAGAGAUUCUGAUACUGUAUUAUGACCCAAGGAAACACAUUAUCUCUCCUCUCUCUGCUUCAUAAGGACACAAAAACUGCCCCAGAAAAGACAGAAUCACAAGACUUUACAGGAUUCAAGACUAACAAGAUUGACGAGAGAUUCUGAUACUGUAUUAUGACCCAAGGAAACACAUUAUCUCUCCUCUCUCUGCUUCAUAAGGUCACAAAAACUGCCCCAGGAAAGACAGAAUCACAAGACUUUACAGGAUUCAAAACUAACAAGAUUGACGAGAGAUUCUGAUACUGUAUUAUGACCCAAGGAAACACAUUAUCUCUCCUCUCUCUGCUUCAUAAGGUCACAAAAACUGCCCCAGGAAAGACAGAAUCACAAGACUUUACAAGAUUCAAGACUAACAAGAUUGACAAGAGAUUCUGAUACUGUAUUAUGACCCAAGGAAACACAUUAUCUCUCCUCUCUCUGCUUCAUAAGGACACAAAAACUGCCCCAGAAAAGACAGAAUCACAAGACUUUACAGGAUUCAAGACUAACAAGAUUGAAGAGAGAUUCUGAUACUGUAUUAUGACCCAAGGAAACACAUUAUCUCUCCUCUCUCUGCUUCAUCAGGUCACAAAAACUGCCCCAGGAAAGACAGAAUCACAAGACUUUACAAGAUUCAAAACUAACAAGAUUGACGAGAGAUUCUGAUACUGUAUUAUGACCCAAGGAAACACAUUAUCUCUCCUCUCUUUGCUUCAUCAGGUCACAAAAACUGCCCCAGAAAAGACAGAAUCAUGAGACUUUACAGGACUCAAGACUAACAAGAUUGACGAGAGAUUUUGAUACUGUAUUAUGACCCAAGGAAACACAUUAUCUCUCCUCUCUCUGCUUCAUAAGGUCACAAAAACUGCCCCAGGAAAGACAGAAUCACAAGACUUUACAGGAUUCAAAACUAACAAGAUUGACGAGAGAUUCUGAUACUGUAUUUGAACCUAUAGAAACAUGACCUCAACCCUCUUUGCUGGAGUUUCAUAAGGUCACAAAAACUGCCCCAGGAAAGACAGAAUCACGAGAGUUUACAAGACUGACGAGAGAUUCUGACACUGUAUUAUGACCCAAGGAAACACAUUAUCUCUCCUCUCUCUGCUUCAUCAGGUCACAAAAACUGCCCCAGGAAAAACAGAAUCACAAGACUUUACGCGAUUCAAAACUAACAAGAUUGACGAGAGAUUCUGAUACUGUAUUUGAAUCUAACGAAACACACUAUCUCCCCUCUCUUCGCUUCAUCAGGAGCGCCUAAAAGCCCCCCUCCGAGAAGCCACAACACUGACUUAACACUAGAGGUGAAUGUCUAGAAGAUAUGUAGUAGAAAAUGUAUGUACUGGAUCUCACUAAUGGGGAACGCUAGGCUUACUGGAUCUCACUAAUGGGGAACGCUAGGCUAAGUUACAACUAUGUGAGAAGACUAGGCCUAUGUUACAAGACUGUAGGUUAACUAGAAGACUAUAUUUGUAGGUUAAACAGAUUGCAUUUGUUGACUUGCGUUAGAAGACUGUAAGUUAGAUAUAAGACUGUAUUUGUAGGUGAUGUUAAGACUGCAUUUGACAACUUGCAUUAGGAGACUGAAGGUUAGCUAGAAGACUAUAUUUGUAGGUUAAACAGAUUGCAUUUGUUGACUUGCGUUAGAAGACUGUAAGUUAGAUAUAAGACUGUAUUUGUAGGUGAUGUUAAGACUGCAUUUGACAACUUGCAUUAGGAGACUGAAGGUUAGCUAGAAGACUAUAUUUGUAGGUUAAACAGAUUGCAUUUGUCGACUUGCGUUAGAAGACUGUAAGUUAGAUAUAAGACUGUAUUUGUAAGUUAAGUUAAGACUGCAUUUGACAACUUGCAUUAGGAGACUGAAGGUUAGAUAUAAGACUGUAUUUGUAGGUGAAGUUAAGAUUGCAUUUGUUGACUUGCGUUAGAAGACUGUAAGUUAGAUAUAAGACUGUAUUUGUAGGUGAAGUUAAGACUGUAUUUGUAAGUUAAGUUAAGACUGCAUUUGACGACUUAAGUUACGUAGGUUAGAUAUAACUGUAUUUGUAGGUGAAGUUAAGACUGCAUUUGACGAUUUAAGUUAGAAGACUAUAUUUGUAAGCUUAGGAAACCGCAUUUUGUCGACUUAUAUUAAAAGACUAUUUGUAGACUGACAGGUUGUAUUUUCAGGCUAAGUUCAAGACUGUGGAUAAGAUAGAAGAUUGCAUUUGUAGGCUAAAAAACUGCCCUUGUUGAUGUAUGUUUGAAGACUGUAGAUGAGUUAUAAGACUGUAUUUGCAGGUAAAGUUAAGUUAGAGAAUUAUUUGUAGACUGACAGGUUGAUUUUUAGGCAAAGUUUGAAGACUGUUGAUAAGUUAUAAGACUGUAUUUGCAGGUAAAGUUAAGUUAGAAGACUAUUUGUAGACUGACAGGUUGAUUUUUAGGCUAAGUUUGAAGACUGUAGAUUAGUUAAAAGACUCUAUUUGCAGGUAAAGUUAAGUUAAAGGAUUAUUUGUAGACUGACAGGUUGAUUUUUAGGCUAAGUUUGAAGACUGUAGAUAAGUUAAAAGACUGUAUUUGUAGGUAAAGUUAAGUUAGAGAAUUAUUUGUAGACUGACAGGUUGAUUUUUAGGCUAAGUUUGAAGCCUGUAGAUAAGUUAAAAGACUGUAUUUGCAGGUAAAGUUAAGUUAAAGGAUUGUUUGUAGACUGUAGAUAAGUUAAAAGACUCUAUUUGCAGGUAAAGUUAAGUUAAAGGAUUAUUUGUAGACUGACAGGUUAUAUUUUCAGGCAAAGUUUGAAGACUGUAGAUUAGUUAAAAGACUGUAUUUGCAGGUAAAGUUAAGUUAGAAGACUAUUUGUAGACUGACAGGUUAUAUUUUCAGGCUAAGUUUGAAGACUGUUGAUAAGUUAUAAGACUGUAUUUGUAGGUAAAGUUAAGUUAGAGAAUUAUUUGUAGACUGACAGGUUGAUUUUUAGGCUAAGUUUGAAGACUGUAGAUUAGAUAGAAGACUAUAUUUGUAGGGUAAGUUAGACUGCGUUUGUCGACUUGAGAUAGACUGUAUAGGCUUAGUUAGAAGACUGUAUUUGUAGGGUGAGUUAGACUGCGUUUGUCGACUUGAGAUAGACUGUAUAGGCUUAGUUAGAAGACUGUAUUUGUAGAUAAGUUAGACUGCGUUUGUCGACUUGAGAUAGACUGUAUAGGCUUAGUUAGAAGACUGUAUUUGUAGAUAAGUUAGACUGCGUUUGUCGACUUGAGAUAGACUGUGUAGGCUUAGUUAGAAGACUGUAUUUGUAGAUAAGUUAGACUGCGUUUGUCGACUUGAGAUAGACUGUAUAGGCUUAGUUAGAAGACUAUAUUUGUAGGGUGAGUUAGACUGCAUUUGUCAACUUGAGAUAGACUGUAUAGGCUUAGUUAGAAGACUGUAUUUGUAGAUAAGCUAGCCUACUGCCUUUGAAACUCCGGGCCCCUUUGAGUCAUUUUGUUUGUUACCCAUGACGGAGAUCGACACUAGUAUUUCCACGUAAAACUGGCCUAUGGGGUAGUGGCGGCUGCGGGGUUAGCCUAGCCGCGCACCUUGCCACACACUCUCAACACCUCUUGCUUCCUCUACAGCCGCCACGACCCCACAGCCCAGUUUCACGUGGAAAUACCAAAUCGUCGAUCGCCGCCAUUGGUAACGCUCAAAACAAACAAAGUGACUGUGAAAUCGGCCCUAAGAUAGAUUCUAGACUUAGUCAGCAGAAUGCCUUUGUUGUAUAAGACGAGUGUUUAUAGAUUACGUAAAAGACUCGGCAGAAUGCUAUUGUUGACUACGUGAAAAAGACUGUUUGUAGACAAGGUUUGAGACUGUUAGACUGAGUAGACAGCCUCCCCUUGAAGACUGUGUUACCAGAAUGCCUUUGAAUGGUUUCGUCAACGGGGUGAAAGAGACAUAUUUGUAGGCUAUGUUAAAGACUGAAGAUUAAGUUAGCCUGUUCUUGAAGACUAAAUAACCAGACUGCCUUUGAGUGCAUUUGUCGAGUGGUGAAAAGACUAUUGAUAGCCUGUUAAAAGACUGUAGCCUAACUUAACAGCCUGCCCUUGAAGACUAAAUAGCCAGACUGCCUUUGAAUGCCUCUGUCAACUAUUGAAAAGACUGUAUUGAUAGCCUGUUAAAAGACUGUAGCCUAACUUAACAGCCUGCCCUUGAAGACUAAAUAGCCAGACUGCCUUUGAAUGCCUCUGUCAACUAUGUGAAAAGAUGUAUUUGUAGACAAGUUAAAGAUCGUUAGACUAAAUAACCAGACUACCUUUGAAGACUUACACCUCACUGCCUUUGUCGCUACAGCCAAAACCCUGAAGAAGUAACAUCCUCACACACAUCGCUGGCGAGGAAAUGGCCUACAAGCUGUUUCGGAAAGGUAGAGAUUUUGAGCCGUUUUCACAGUCCAGCACGGUGUCUUCGUAACAGCCCGAACCAAACUAUAGAAUCCCAUACAAUCCAAAAUGGUGAGGUCUUCAAUGCCACACUAAAUACACAAGACUUUUCUGGUAUAGUUUCAUCAAAUUUGUGAACUUAAAUAUAAACACCAGACACUAUACGAGGAAAUUUCGAAGGCUCUGGUACUGGUUUGGGAGCUUACUAACCGAUCAUGGGGAACUGUGAAACUCUCCCUUUGUGCUGAGGAUAAUUUGGUAUCCUGUGACCACUUCCUUGAAACGACACAACUGCGGUGACUCGGUGUGUUACGAGACUUGAGUUUGCAUUCUUAAACAUAACAAGCUCCCAUUACGACCAUAUCCCAAGGCCACAAGGAGGAUUAGCCGGAUUUUCAUGGGUGAUUUUCCCGUGCCAAGCUAUCCACAGCCCCAUGAAAAUCCCAGCACCUUCCACGAGAGGCGUUUCAAUCGGACAAACGUUAAGUGCCGAUAUUCUCCAAGGCCACGGGGAGGAUUAACCGAAUUUUCAUGGGUGGUUUUCCCGUGCCAAGCUAUCCACAGCAUCACAAAACAGUCCAUAAAAAUCCCAGCACCUUCCCAAGAGAGGCGUUUCAAUCGGACAAACGUUAAGCGCCGAUAUUCUCCAAGGUCACAGGAAGGAUUAACCGAAUUUUCAUGGGUGAUUUUCCCGUGCCAAGCUAUCCCCAGCCCCAUGAAAAUCCCGGCACCUUCCCACGAGAGGCAUUUAAAUCGGACAAACAUUAAGUGCCAAUAUUCUCCAAGGUCACAGGAAGGAUUAACCGGGUUUUCAUGGGUGAUUUUCCCGUGCCAAGCUAUCCACAGCCCCAUGAAACUCCCGGCACCUUCCACGAGAGUCUUCCGAAGUGGUCAAACGUAGGUGCCGAUAUGUUUAAGAAUACAGACGUCAAACUGGUAUUAUCAAACGCGUCAAGUUCUUACUACGUCAAUUUUUUAAGGCCAGGGAUGAGCUACGUUGGGUCAAGAGAGUCACAGUGCGGAACCCUUGCCAAACUACCGCCAGGGUCAUAGAACCACAACUCCGGCAACUCCCGCAAGCCUUCAAGAAUAGACGCACUAAGACCUAAAGAGUUUAAUACGACCCUCGGACUUCAACAAGGUGGCUACGAACGGGGGUUGGGGGUUGGGAAUGUGGGGUCGAUAUAACAGACUAACACACGACACACUCCGUAACAACAAACGAAACUCCACUAGGCUGUAACAACGCUACGUAUGAGUGUGUCCGUAACCUAAGCCCCGGGCCCACUGCGGCGGCGAGGGGCUGUGACGAGAUGGGAUGCCACUAACCUAACCUAACCUUAGCCUAGUAACUCGUACCUAUCGACGAUAUAUAAUUGCAUAGUAUUAUAGAACUACAGGAAACUCUUCUCCUUUGCAUAGAUGACGGAACAUGCAUACUACAGGGAGGGCGGUGCUAUGGGGUCCGAUGGUGGUGUUGGCGACAGUGCUGGUGAGAGUGGGAGCUAACCGAUAACCGAACUCGACAGCCAGAUAUUCAGUCAACCAAAGAA